rnacentral:rRNA from 1 species
UUUUGGAUGGACUCGCGGCCUAUCAGCUUGUUGGUGAGGUAAUGGCUCACCAAGGCGACGACGGGUAGCCGGCCUGAGAGGGUGACCGGCCACACUGGGACUGAGACACGGCCCAGACUCCUACGGGAGGCAGCAGUGGGGAAUAUUGCACAAUGGGCGCAAGCCUGAUGCAGCGACGCCGCGUGAGGGAUGACGGCCUUCGGGUUGUAAACCUCUUUCAGUAGGGAAGAAGCGAAAGUGACGGUACCUGCAGAAGAAGCACCGGCUAACUACGUGCCAGCAGCCGCGGUAAUACGUAGGGUGCGAGCGUUAUCCGGAAUUAUUGGGCGUAAAGAGCUCGUAGGCGGUUUGUCGCGUCUGUCGUGAAAGUCCGGGGCUUAACCCCGGAUCUGCGGUGGGUACGGGCAGACUAGAGUGCAGUAGGGGAGACUGGAAUUCCUGGUGUAGCGGUGGAAUGCGCAGAUAUCAGGAGGAACACCGAUGGCGAAGGCAGGUCUCUGGGCUGUAACUGACGCUGAGGAGCGAAAGCAUGGGGAGCGAACAGGAUUAGAUACCCUGGUAGUCCAUGCCGUAAACGUUGGGCACUAGGUGUGGGGACCAUU